rnacentral:rRNA from 1 species
AUUGAACGCUGGCGGCAUGCCUUACACAUGCAAGUCGAACGGCAGCACGGGAGCAAUCCUGGUGGCGAGUGGCGAACGGGUGAGUAAUAUAUCGGAACGUGCCCGGUCGUGGGGGAUAACGUAGCGAAAGCUACGCUAAUACCGCAUACGAUCUACGGAUGAAAGCGGGGGAUCGCAAGACCUCGCGCGAUUGGAGCGGCCGAUAUCAGAUUAGGUAGUUGGUGAGGUAAAGGCUCACCAAGCCGACGAUCUGUAGCUGGUCUGAGAGGACGACCAGCCACACUGGGACUGAGACACGGCCCAGACUCCUACGGGAGGCAGCAGUGGGGAAUUUUUGGACAAUGGGCGGCAAGCCUGAUCCAGCAAUGCCGCGUGCAGGAUGAAGG